GCGAGCACGGGAUUGGGCGGCCCCUCCCUCUCCAGUGAAAAUAUGUCCUAUCUCUUCUCUCCCCGUUCCUCUUCUCUGGCCGCCGCCUCCGCUUCCCUCCUCCCUCUCGGUCGCCUCGUCUCCUCCGCCGCCGCCACGUCCUCCUCCCCUGCCACCACCCUCUCCAUCCCUGCCUCUCCUCCUCCCCUGCCUCCGCGCACCCGGCAACACGGCCAGACCGAUGGAUGGGGUAGGCGAAGAGGAGUGGCAGAUCCGCCUCCUCUUGGGCGGUUGUGCUCUUCUUUGUUGAGAACUUGCCGCCUGUUGCGCCCGCGUCGCUGCCGUUCUUGCGCCGGUGCUGCUGCCGUGGACGGCUUGGCUUUGGCGCAAUCUCUGUUCUUUCUCACCCAUGCGACUGAUCUUCUAUCUGCUGCUGCCGCGCGCCGUGCUUCUGGAUCUAGGCGAGCAGGGCGGCAUGAUCUUCUUGGUGGGUGUGGAGGAUGAGGAGAAUGGCAGUGAGGGAAGUAACAGCGAGGCUGGAGUUCCAGACGGUGCUGGCCAUGGUACCUGUCCCCAAUCUAGGUUGCCAAUAUGCAGCCUCCUUGAUUUAUGGUUUUUUAAACACACAUAUGCAGACCUGAGGAAAAAGAGAAGAGGGUGAAUCUUGAUGAAAAGUUUGAACAAAGUUCGAAGAUAUAAAUCUAAUUGAUAUAUUGUCGAUGGGGAUUAAGUACUGUAAUGAUAUACCUGAGAAUUUUGAUGAUAUAUCUGCUACCAGGUUGAAUAUUGACCACAAAUUAAUUUUUGUGUGUGCUUCUGCUCAUUUAAGUGCAUAAUUUGGUCACAAACCUCCUGCUGUAGCUACGAAGUUCAUUGUGUGAUGCCUACAAGUUAUUGGUCUUAUUUUUGGUGUAAAGCUGCAGGCCGAGUUCAGGUUGUUCUUUUGACAGAAAUGGAACAGGUAAUGCUACAGCCUAAGCAUUGUAUAGUAUAAAUUCAAAGGUCAUGUAAUAUUUUACUUAGGUUCAUUCAAAUAUCUGGAAUUGACAUGCAUAUGUUUCUUGUAUGUGCACACAUUGUUGGUUGUAUCUUAAUAUGAGUUCUUUAUAUGUUGCUUGCCUAAAUUCAGAAGUGAACUUUUGCUGUAUAUUUGGUCGAUGUGUGUCCUGUAAACCGUAAACUUACUAGGUGUACAUGUACAUGCGUAUUUGUUACACUAUUAUCAUAUAUAACACUUCCAGAUCAGAAUAUACAGAUAUCUCCUUUUUACAUAAAUAAUCGUGAUUGUUCUCAUACAAUUUGGCAUUUCAAGAAUAUCGCAGCCACACAAGCUAAAGGUUCAGGAAGUUUAGGGAAAGAAAAGUUCUUAUUGACAAAGAUGGUGGUAUGGAUAAGUCCCUAUUCUCAUUGUCACUGGUACUUCAUUUUUCUUAUAUUUUGAUGCUUAUUUUUUCGUAUGUAGGUGAGUUUUAUCUGGUAUCACUUUUUGACAUGGACAUGUACCAUAUGAUUGUUGAGUUUCAUCUGAUUUCACUUUUUGACAUGGCCAUAUACCAUGGGGUAUAGUAUUUAUGAAGAGUGGCUUGGAAAUUGCAAGUAGAUGGUUACUCUAGCCGUAUAGCUUAUUUAAUUAGGAGUGAGAUGCUUGCUAAGAUGAAUGGUGUUUCUGUAAGGGCAGACAUAUUCCUAGCACUGGAUUAUGCACAUGUAUAUAUGGAUACUUCUGUACGAAUGCAGCUCACACUUACCACGGUCAGAAGAGUCUUGCAUGGAUAUAUCAUGUGAUGUGACACUGGAAUAAUUGGCCUGGAGUUCACCGGCGUGACCGAGCGCAGUGCAACGGAGCAGUUCAACACGUGUUUGCACAUGACUGCCAUGGAAGAGGAUCUUGCUGGAACGCUGCCGUUUCUUCAGUUUGGGAUUUUGUCAACAAUUCUGUAACCUUGAUUGCGCUGAGCAUAAGCAGGAUCUACGCAUUAUUCUGUUGACUUUGCUCACUCCCGAAAAGAAGAGGACUAUGGACCUGAGUGGGAAUGGAGGCAGGAUAUUCUUCUGGAUGGCUAUGCUGAGGUGGUGGUUGGUCGGAUCCAUGGUGUAGGCAAAGUUGGUCAGCAUGGUGGAGUUGUGCUGUGGGGAAGACCCUGGAUUAGAGAUCUGCGCGGCUAUCUGCGUGCUGGGUGGAUCAGUGUAGCCCACCUUGGGAUGGAGGCAAGCGGCGCUUCACUGGUGCCUCGCCAUGCCACAACAGUGGCCUUCACAAUGUUUAAUCAUAAGACCACUAUUUUUGUGUCUAUAUGCAGUGUUCACUUCGUCUAUAUCUUGGCAAUGUUUAAUCAUAAAACCACUAAUUUUGUGUCUAUAUGCAGUGUUCACUUUGUCUA